rnacentral:rRNA from 1 species
GACGAACGCUGGCGGCGUGCUUAACACAUGCAAGUCGAACGGUAAGGCCCUUCGGGGUACACGAGUGGCGAACGGGUGAGUAACACGAGGGUGAUCUGCCCUGCACUUCGGGCUAAGCCUGUGAAACUGGGUCUAACACCCGAUAGGACCCUGGAAUGCAUGUCCUGGGGUGGAAAGCUUUUGCGGUGUGGGAUGGGCCCGCGGCCUAUCAGCUUGUUGGUGGGGUGAUGGCCUACCAAGGCGACGACGGGUAGCCGGCCUGAGAGGGUGACCGGCCACACUGGGACUGAGAUACGGCCCAGACUCCGACGGGAGGCAGCAGUGGGGAAUAUUGCACAAUGGGCGCAAGCCUGAUGCAGCGACGCCGCGUGAGGGAUGACGGCCUUCGGGUUGUAAACCUCUUUCAGCACCGACGAAGCGCAAGUGACGGUAGGUGCAGAAGAAGGACCGGCCAACUACGUGCCAGCCGCCGCAGUAA